UGAUACCGGAGUAAGUCUGUAUGUAAGUUUUACGUGAUAUAGUAAAUCUCAGUCUAUCCACUACUGAUACCGGAGUAAGUGUGUAUGCAAUUUUUACGUGAUAUAGUAAAUCUCAGUCUAUCCACUAUUGAAACUGGAGUAAGUCUUGCAUGUAAUCUUUACCUACUUUAGUCAAUCAUAGUCUAUCCAUCACUGACAUGAAAGUAUAUUGUUGCAAAAUCAAUGCAGCCAAGCCGGACGUGAUUCUUUCAUUACAAGGGAUGCAAUAUAGAGGAUCCUCACCUUUAAGCAAAUACUCAUGUGUAUAUCUUGAAAGGUCAAUACCACAACGUCGAAUGAUGACCUCCUCAAAUCUGCACUGACAACCCAGGUAAGUAUAGCCAAUGUAGGGUUUUAUGUCAUGUAAUGUAUUAAUACCAUCGGGCGUCCCGCUUCUUCUGCAUCAGAUCACGGAUGUCAGAUCUAAUAACAGCGUUGUAAUCGGAGUAUGGAAUAUGAAGUGGUGUCACAGAUAUGAUGAGUGCUGCCCCAGCAGAAUGAUUGGCCACUGUGUUACAAGAAACGCCAACGUGGCUUGGUAACGAAAUAAAAACGAUGACGUUUAGGCCAAUAGCGAGAUCAUUAUAUAAUCCAAGCCUGAUAACAUUUUCAAUGCUCACGAAACUGGCCUCUUCUACAAAAUGAAACCAAACAGAACUCUUCACUUUAAAUCUGAAAAAUGCAGUGGGGGUAAAAAUUCUAAAGCGAGAAUAACAUUUAUAAGACAUAGAG